rnacentral:rRNA from 1 species
CGCAAUGCCCGAAAGGGUGACAAUGCGACGCCGCGUGGACGAUGAAGGCCUUCGGGUUGUAAAGUCCUGUCAGCAGGGAUGAAUACUUAGGAAUUAAUACCCCCUAAGUUUGACGGUACCUGCAGAGGAAGCUACGGCUAACUCCGUGCCAGCAGCCGCGGUAAUACGGAGGUGGCAAGCGUUGUUCGGAUUUACUGGGUGUAAAGGUCAUGUAGGCGUCUCAUUAAGUCGGGUGUGAAAUCCCUUGGUUCAACCAAGGAACUGCAUUCGAAACUGGCGAGAUUGAGUACGAGAGAGGUAAGCGGAAUUCCGGAAGUAAGGGUGAAAUCUGUAGAUAUCCGGAAGAACACCGUUAGCGAAGGCGGCUUACUGGCUCGAUACUGACGCUGAAAUGAGAAAGCUAGGGGAGCGAACAGGAUUAGAUACCCUGGUAGUCCUAGCUGUAAACGAUGGGCACUAAGUAGAGGGG